GUCUCUUCCCAUCCAGGUCAAUGCACUCAAUGGCCAGGAACUGCCUCACGUCACCCAUUACACUGAACCCAUCACUCUGCUCACUUCAGGCAAUCAUUGCGAAACCAUAUCCUUUUUCCUCAUGGACUCCCCUGUAGCUCCCAUUGUCUUAGGUCACCCCUGGUUAAUGAAACAUAAUCCACGAGUGGAUUGGGGUUCCAACACUGUCACAUUGUGGAGUGAAAGUUGUCAUGAGUCUUGUCUGGUUUCUGCUUGUCCUGUUGUCCCUGUCUCUGUUUUGCAGAGAGAGAACAUGGUAUUAUCAAACGUGCCCGAAGAGUACCUGGACCUGAAGGAAGUGUUCAAGAGGGAGGCCAUGGAGAAAUACAUUUCUGAUUCCUUGGCCUCUGGGUUCAUCCGCCCUUCCUCUUCUCCAGCGGGGGCGGGGUUCUUUUUUGUGGCAUCACCACUUACCUUCGGCUCGAUUCCCCGCAGUUCCUGUGCCAUCCUCUCCUGCUGCCAACUCACCAUCACCAUCUGGAUUACUCACCGUCUCCCACCAUCUUGGAUUGUCGUCUUCCCAGCGUUGUUUGUAUUCUUGUUUGUUUUGUUUGGUUCUCAUUAAACUGUUUCAUACUCGCACUUGUUUCCAGCUUCUCCUUCACCCAGUCGUCACA
ensembl:lncRNA